UCUACUGAUAGCUUAUGCUCUUCAAGGCCAAGAAAGCAGGACAAUGACCAGCAGAACCGAGCGACACAAGUAGUUCUGGAAUGUCAAAGGGAAUCUUCUGCAUUCUUCCCAGUUUCCUCUUCAUUCCCCUCCGCAGAAACAAGAGUGUCAGAAGUGAAAAUCACAGCCAUCAUUUCUACUUUCGAGCACGGUAAGGUUUAAACAAUCCAAGAGCUCCUUCUGGACAUCGGCAAUAUUACCUUGUUGCUACGAUGGGCCCAAUCUUUGGAGGAACAGAAAUGGAAGGAAAUCAGCCACCUUAUUUAAUUUAAGACGAUUUAUAGUUUCUAUCAAGGGAGCAGCAAAAGGUAGCCCACUGAGCGAGAAAGAAAUCUAGAAUUGGUAUCAAAGCUGUCUGCCAGGCGGUGGCUUCCCUUGUGGACUGACAUUCAUAUCUGAGAACCACCAUCAGAUCUUCACGCCACACCCUUCCCAAUAUCGUAUAUUUAACGCAUACAGUAUACUCUUCAAGAAGCCCAUCUGCCAGCCUGUCAUACCCAACGUCUACAGUCACAAAGGAACCACUUAAUGAUCAGCUGCCGCCUAUUGUUUGUGGAUGGGGAAAGUUCUCUUCAAUUUCACUCUGCUACUCACCUGACCAAGUUUCUUUAUCCAAUAUGAUGACCUAAACCUUCAUUCCUGAGGGAUCUGAGAUAUUGAUGUAUUCUUUCAUUACAUUUUAUCACUGGAGCAGUACAAGAAGGCACCCUCAAGCAUCCCCUGGGCUCCGUACUCUUUCUUGUUGCUAUUAGAUAGUGAUAUUUAUUGACAGAAACAAUCUGCCAUGCCAACCUCAAACACCAUCUUUCGUACAGUUGUUGAAUGGCACAAGAAUUCUGACAAGGCUAGGUGGGCUGGCUCACCCUCCAAUUCAGUGCCUUCCUGUGGGUGCUAAGCCUCUAUAGCAGGAGAUUCCAGAAUUUCUGAGAUGGGAAGUGUCCCAAAUACGACUGAUAGAUAUUCACCAUUCCAAACAUGUCUUCGCCUACCUGAUUCCAGAAUUAUACCAGCAUGGAGUUUUCCUGACUUAAUUGUUCUUGAAAUGACUCCUGAUUCUAACUCCUCUAGUCUUCCAAUGAUUUCAUAAGCACCUAAUUACCUGUAUUAAACCCCUUUCGGCUAAAAUACCUGGAGUGAUUUUUGUUUUCUGCACUGAACCCUGAGCGAUACAGAAAGUAAAUCUUUUAUGAGGUCAUUGGCUAUACCCGUAAGAGAAACCAUUCCCUUUUCUUUCCCCCUUGAUGGCCAAAACGCAUAUAUUCUGUACAUGACAGACAUACAAUCACACAUUGUUCAAAGCAUAUGUCACAUUCCACCUGAUAGCACCUCAACUUUACAAGGUAGUUUCUGAUCUGAAGCUGUAACAGAGUCUUUCAUAGGCCAUUCUACCAUUUUGGGUGACUGUAUAUGCUGCAAAAAAUAAUUUAUUGGCCCUUAGCAUUCAUUUCUAUUUUUUUCUAUAUGCUUUCCUGAUCAACAGAGGCUGGAAAAUUUAAAUCACAUUUCACAACUCCACUGUCAUUUGUAAGAGACCACGUGAAUCUCAGCUGCUUCAACCAUUGCUUUGCUUUUUUGGAUGCAAAAUAGGCUCCCGGUCAAAAACUAUGUCAUGCAGGACACCACUAUGGUAAAUAAAGCCUGCAGCGAAUCUAUGAAUGGUGAGGCAGGUUAAAGCAUGGCAGGCAAGGAAGGCAAACUUAAAGCUACUUUUGUUCCCUGAUUAUAAUAUAUUGAUAUACUUAGGUUCUGGAUAAUUCCUACUGGGUCUGGUACUAUAUUGGGGGCUGCAACUAGCAGGUUGGGCAUUCAGUCAUGGUAGCUGACAAUGGCAGUUAAGGUGAAGUUUACAAGUUGAGGGUAGGUACCCCAAGUGUACUGGGUAUACUGAAACAGUCCACUUCAGGUUAGUGCUAAUUUAUCAUGCAGAGCCAGUGGUAGUUAGUGUCCAUUUCUUCUCCCCAUCCCCCAAUCAAUGGGUCAUAGGAACCUGCCCUGGAGACCAUGAGUGAGUUGAGAAAAAUCCACUUGAGCUACAUCCCACAUAAACCACCCCCACUUGAAAGUGUAUUACAGUUUAGUACACCCAAAAAUAUGGCUGGGUGAAUCACACAGCAUGUACCAUGAGCAGUUGAGAGUGAAUAGUUCUCUCUCAUGUCAUGGUCAAACAUUUACUCUCUUUAAAGCAAGUUUAGAGCUACUUCUCAAUAGACUACUUAACCAAGAACAUGACUUUCAGCCCAAACCUCAGGAGCUUUUGCUAUAUUUUUCCUAAUGACACUUAAUAUAGUCUUCAUACAGCAUCACAGUAUGUCAAGAUGCUUUGUGUAAUGGUCAAAGAAGUAUCCUCUGGCAGGCAGACAAAUCCCUCAAGAAAAAGAAUGCAAGUUCUGGCUGUUCCAAGUUUUCUUGAAUUGGUGAUAAGGUAAGGGUAAGAGGCUAUCAAUGAAGCCCUGACAGCUUCUGGUACACACAGUAAGUGGCUUCAAGCAGCACAGCCAAAUGUGGUAUAGGCUGCUUUCUAAAUAAAAACAGACCCACUAAAUGCUGUGUUUGUUUCUUAAUGGUAGAACAUCCAAACUGUAGUAAAUAACCUAAAAUGUUCCCAACCAAUGAAUCCUCCAGAAACUUCACUAGCAAUUAGACCCCUGUGUUUUCAUGAAUGUAUCUCCCAUUCUCUGGCGUGUGUCUUGCCAAAAUAUGCAGAGCGGCUGCUACUUCAUGUUCUGCAGAUAACAUCAGCAUGAAGUCAUUAAUGUCAUAACUACCUUGGUGUCUUUGGGGUUAAUGAGAUGAUGACGUUCCCUAGAGAUGAAACUGUGGCUUAAAGAGUUUUCAUAACUCUGAGGCAAAGUAGCGAAAGUAUACUGUUAUCCUUGCCAAGUAAAGUGCUGUUCUGUAUCUGAGAUAGAGGCAGCAAGAACUGCAAGAUCAAUAGUUGAGACUCUGUUCAUUUGCUUCAUUAAAGACACCACAUCUGGAAAACGUGAUUUAACUGAAGUCACUGCCUAUUAAGUUUAUGAUAAUCCACCAGCAUUCUCCAAGACCUAUGCACAUUAGAGAGUUAUUUCAGGAAAUGAUAGGAAUCAACAUCUCGCCAGUUUCAAGUGGCUUAUAAUGACAAGUGGCUUAUAAUGACAUCUCUCUCUAAAGUUCCCCCAGGGAUGUGGUAUUGCUUUUUACUAAUUCCCCUGGUAUUGAGAGGAAUUCCAGUGGUUUCCACUUCAUUGUUUCCAAUAUAAUAGGUCAGGAUGCAUUAUAGGGUUUUGCUAUUGCUGAUGAUAUAUAUUCCAAGAAUACAUUCAUGAAUUAAAAGAAAUAAAUGAAGGAUGCAUUCAAUGUCCCACUGGGCCUACUAGGAGGCAGGUUUGGGUUUUAUCUCCAUCACCUGAAUUUCAUAAAACCCAUAUUCUGACAGAAGAACCACA